GGGCCCAGGGGGCGGGCGGGAGUGCGGCCAUGGAUGUAGGAGCGACCGGGAGCGCUCCCGGUAUCUGCACCAGGAUGGCCGAGUGGUUAAGGCGUUGGACUUAAGAUCCAAUGGACGCAUGUCCGCGUGGGUUCGAACCCCACUCCUGGGUAAUAUCAUUGUGUUUAAUAAUACAUCGAAAGUGAGGGAAGUACAAAUCAAGCGCAGACUGAUACAUUUUUAAAUAUCAGUAUUUGCCGGAGCAUCCUGGUCAAAUUCUAAUACAGCUUGUUAGAGCACAUGCUGAUCUGGAAUGGAGCAGAAGAUUUUUUUGAACCUUUCCUGAUCUGAAGAAAUACCCAUAAAAUCUACCUGCAACAAGGAUGUCCCAACCUCUUCCUACACUUCUCCAUAA